rnacentral:lncRNA from 1 species
UUUUUUCUAUCAAUGAAAUCAUAGAUCAUUCCAUGAUUUAUCAAAAAGAAUCCCUCUCUCUUAAUGACUCUUCUUAGGGAAUAGAAUCUGUUUUCUAGGAGCUCAGGGGAAGGUAGCAAAGAGGAGUAGAGCCGCGGAUGCCCAAGCAAGCGAAGAAUAAUAAGCCAAAAAUGAUUCUGCAACUAGGCCCCUUCAACUACUUAAGCGCAAGAUAGGAGAUAAUGGAGGAGCAUACCAGAAGAAAAGAGGCGUUCUAAAUAUUUUUAAAUGUUUCAAGUGUUUCACACUAAAUAAUAAAUCAAAUCAUAA